rnacentral:rRNA from 1 species
GAUGAACGCUGGCGGCGUGCCUAAUACAUGCAAGUCGAGCGAACAGACGAGGAGCUUGCUCCUCUGACGUUAGCGGCGGUCGGGUGAGUAACACGUGGAAAACCUACCUAUAAGACUGGGAUAACUUCGGGAAACCGGUGCUAAUAACGGACAAUAUAUUGAACCGCAUGGUUCAAUAGUGAAAGACGGUUUUGCUGUCACUUAUAGAUGGAUCCGAGCCGCAUUAGCUAGUUGGUAAGGUAACGGCUUACCAAAGCAACAAUGCGUAGCCGACCUGAGAGGGUAGUCGUCCACUCUGGAACUGAGACACGGUCCGGAGUCCUACAGAGAGCAAGAGUAGGGAAACUUCCACAAUGAGCGAAAGCCUAACGGAACAACGGCACAUGAUGUAUAAAGGUCUUCGGAUCGUGAAACUCUGUUAGUAGGGAAGAACAAAUGUGUAAGUAACUAUGCACGUCUUGACGGUACCUAAUCAGAAAGCCACGGCUAACUACGUG